UACGAAGGGGACUAGCGUUGUUCGGAAUCACUGGGCGUAAAGCGCACGUAGGCGGAUAUGUCAGUCAGGGGUGAAAUCCCGGGGCUCAACCUCGGAACUGCCUUUGAUACAGCAUAUCUUGAGUCCGAUAGAGGUGGGUGGAAUUCCUAGUGUAGAGGUGAAAUUCGUAGAUAUUAGGAAGAACACCGGUGGCGAAGGCGGCCCACUGGAUCGGUACUGACGCUGAGGUGCGAAAGCGUGGGGAGCAAACGGG
rnacentral:rRNA from 1 species